rnacentral:rRNA from 1 species
AGUCGAACGGCAGCACGGGGGCACCCUGGUGGCGAGUGGCGAACGGGUGAGUAAAGCAUGGAACGUGCCCUGGAGUGGGGGAUAACGUAGCGAAAGUUACGCUAAUACCGCAUAUUCUGUGCAGCAGGAAAGCAGGGCUGAUCGCAAGACCUUGCGCUCUGGGAGCUGGCCUGAUGUCGGAUUAGCUAGUUGGUGGGGUAAAGGCCUACCAAGGCGACGAUCCGUAGCGGGUCUGAGAGGAUGAUCCGCCACACUGGGACUGAGACACGGCCCAGACUCCUACGGGAGGCAGCAGUGGGGAAUUUUGGACAACUGGGCGAAACGCCUGAUCCAGCCAUGCCGCGUGAGUGAAGAAGGCCUUCGGGUUGUAAAGCUCUUUCGGUGGGGAAGAAAUUGCAUGGGCUAAUACCCUGUGUAGAUGACGGUACCUGGAGAAGAAGCACCGGCUAACUACGUGCCAGCAGCCGCGGUAAUACGUAGGGUGCGAGCGUUAAUCGGAAUUACUGGGCGUAAAGCGUGCGCAGGCGGUUUGGUAAGUCAGAUGUGAAAUCCCCGGGCUCAACCUGGGAACUGCAUUUGAGACUGCCAAGCUGGAGUUUGGCAGAGGGGGGUGGAAUUCCACGUGUAGCAGUGAAAUGCGUAGAGAUGUGGAGGAACACCGAUGGCGAAGGCAGCCCCUGGGCCAAUACUGACGCUCAUGCAUGAAAGCGUGGGGAGCAAACAGGAUUAGAUACCCUGGUAGUCCAACGCCUAAACGAUGUCAACUAGGUGUUGGGAGGGUUAAACCUUUUAGUGCCGUAGCUAACGCGUGAAGGUGACCGCCUGGGGAGUACAGGCCGCAAGGCUAAAACUCAAAGGAAUUGACGGGGACCCGCACAAGCGGUGGAUGAUGUGGAUUAAUUCGAUGCAACGCGAAAAACCUUACCUACCCUUGACAUGUCAGGAAUCCCGGAGAGAUUUGGGAGUGCUCGAAAGAGAGCCUGAACACAGGUGCUGCAUGGCUGUCCUCAGCUCGUGUCGUGAGAUGUUGGGUUAAGUCCCGCAAGCGAGCGCAACCCUUGUCAUUAAUUGCCAUCAUUCAGUUGGGCACUUUAAUGAGACUGCCGGUGACAAACCGGAGGAAGGUGGGGAUGACGGUCAAGUCCUCAUGGCCCUUAUGGGUAGGGCUUCACACGUCAUACAAUGGUCGGUUCAGAGGGUUGCCAACCCGCGAGGGGGAGCCAAUCUCAGAAAGCCGAUCGUAGUCCGGAUCGCAGUCUGCAACUCGACUGCGUGAAGUCGGAAUCGCUAGUAAUCGCGGAUCAGCAUGUCGCGGUGAAUACGUUCCCGGGUCUUGUACACACCGCCCGUCACACCAUGGGAGCGGUUCUGCCAGAAGUAGUUAGCCUAACCGCAAGGAGG